UGACUGGGGCGGUACACCUGUCAAAGCGUAACGCAGGCAUCCUAAGACGAGCUCAGGGAGGACGGAAACCUGCCGCGGAGCAGAAGGGCAAAAGCUCGCUUGAUCUUGAUUUUCAGUACGAAUACAGACCGUGAAAGCAGGGUGUCACGAUCCCUGUGG
rnacentral:ncRNA from 1 species